UGAAUAUGAAUGCUAAACCUUCAGAUUUCUCUCAUGCCUUCUGGCUCUGACCUCUAAACCUUCUUUUUAAAUGGCUCAUCAGCUUAAGUCAGGUCCAACCAUACAGGAGAACAGGAAUACACAGGGUGUGUACCCCAGAGGUGGAAAUCUGGAGGGGGGACCUCUUGAAGCCUCCGCGCCCUGUACUGCAUUUGGACUAGCACUAGCGGGUUGUAGACUGCUUCUCUGAUCUCAGGUAGGUUGAGCUCUACACUCCAUCAGUAAAAUUUCCUCCCUUUUCCUUUCCCUUUGUCUUUGCCUUUCUCUUUUCAUUUCCCUUUCCCUUUCCAGUCCUUCCUGUGCUGAGGAUUGAAGCUAGGUCCUCAGGCAUGCUAAGCACACUCUACAACUGAGCCAUGUCCUCAGGCCUCGGAUACACCUUCAAUUCAGUAAUAUAUGACACUAUCGAGUUAUGGAUCACGCACAUUUGUUGGAUUAUCUUUGCGUAGCUUCCUUGAUUUGGGAUCUAGUAAGAAGACUGAUUAACCUGUUUAAAGUUGAGAUUGUUUUCUUACUGACAUCGUCAUAGUCCAGCUCCACUGGAACAGCAGGCUGUGUUGUUGUAGCUGGAAAUGAUCAGCAUUUUUCAGUCUUAGUGAAAAUCUUGUCUUGUGCCACGGAUGUUUUCCCCGGUGGGAAAGAGGGCUCAUGCAUAGAAGCAGCUCUUGUGUGGAGGUAGCCCUGCCGUGGCCAAUGCCAGCUCUAGUUUUUUCCUCCCAGUGGUCUGUUGCUCCACCCUCUGAAGUCCCUGACAUGGUGUUAGAGCUGUCCUUCUAGAAGGAGAUCUUCCCCACACUUGCUUUGGAAGAUUGCCUUCUCUUAACACAUCAACUUUAUGGACCUGGUGCAGUUCUUCAUGACUUUUCUUCAGCAAACCAUCAGGUGGCCACCUCGAGGACCCUUUGUACCAUGAAAGCAGAAAUCUCUUCCUGGGUGAUGCUGGGAGCUGAUGGUCUUGAGUCAAGACUCAUCCACAUCUUGAUGGACCCACUCUGCCUGAUAUGAGCUGACGAGAUUGAAAAAGAGACCUAUUGACAAGAUCCAGCUUGACCCUCUUAAUAAGUUUCACUUGAAAUAUGUUAUUUGUACUUCAGUUGCUAAUGCAUUUUGUUCUCCUGAGUGCCGGAGACCAAGCGUUUUCUAUAACCUUAAUUAGCUUCUGUAAGCUGACUCUCCACCAGAAGCAUGGUCGUGGCCCUCCAGUCUUGAAGAACUGAAAAAAAGACAUUCAGUAUUUCUAAAGAAAACAGUAUUUCCAUUUCUAUAGUUCACCAGCAAAAAUAAAAUUCCCAUGUUUUUGUUCCUCCAAUAAAUAAAAUUAUUUAAAGUUACAAUGUAUCUAGACCAAGAAAAAAUUGGGGGUGGGGAUAAAAGAGUCCACUGUGCCUCCCCCAAAGUGGACAUUUUGUGAAGCUACAAUGAUCAUUAUGGCACUGGCACAAAAUCAGAUUAGCCAGUGGAAUACCAGGCAUAACUAAGGAAACAGAUAAAGUUUAAAAGUCUCCGAUUUGUGCUGGGCGUGGUGGGACAUAGCUAUAAUCCCAGAUAUUUGAGAGACUAAAAGCAGGAGGAUCGCAAGUUCAAGACCAGCCUUGGCAAAUAGACAAGACCCUUUCUCAAAAUCAAAAGGACUGAGGAUGUAGCUCAGCAGUAGAGAGCUUGAAGAGCAUGCAGGAGGCCCUGGUUUUGAUACCCAAACACAU